UACGUAGGGGGGCUAGCGUUGUCCGGAAUUAUUGGGCGUAAAGAGCUCGUAGGCGGUUUGUUGCGUCGGCUGUGAAAUCCCGAGGCUCAACCUCGGGUCUGCAGUCGAUACGAGCAAACUAGAGUGUUGCAGGGGGAGACUGGAAUUCCUGGUGUAGCGGUGAAAUGCGUAGAUAUCUGGAGGAACACCGGUGGCGAAGGCGGGCAUCCUGGACCAAUAUUGACGCUGAGGAGCGAAAGCCAGGGGAGCAAAGCGGG
rnacentral:rRNA from 1 species